rnacentral:rRNA from 1 species
UGGGGAAUUUUUGGACAAUGGGCGAAAGCCUGAUCCAGCAAUGCCGCGUGUGUGAAGAAGGCCUUCGGGUUGUAAAGCACUUUUGUCCGGAAAGAAAUCCUUGGCUCUAAUACAGUCGGGGGAUGACGGUACCGGAAGAAUAAGCACCGGCUAACUACGUGCCAGCAGCCGCGGUAAUACGUAGGGUGCAAGCGUUAAUCGGAAUUACUGGGCGUAAAGCGUGCGCAGGCGGUUUGCUAAGACCGAUGUGAAAUUCCCCGGGGCUCAACCUGGGAACUGCAUUGGCGACUGGCAGGCUAGAGUAUGGCAGAGGGGGGAUAGAAUUUCCACGUGUAGCAGUGAAAUGCGUAGAGAUGUGGAGGAAUACCGAUGGCGAAGGCAG